AUUGAACGCUGGCGGCAUGCUUUACACAUGCAAGUCGAACGGCAGCGCGGGGCAACCUGGCGGCGAGUGGCGAACGGGUGAGUAAUACAUCGGAACGUACCCAGAAGUGGGGGAUAACGUAGCGAAAGUUACGCUAAUACCGCAUACGUUCUACGGAAGAAAGUGGGGGAUCUUCGGACCUCAUGCUUUUGGAGCGGCCGAUGUCUGAUUAGCUAGUUGGUGAGGUAAAGGCUCACCAAGGCGACGAUCAGUAGCUGGUCUGAGAGGACGACCAGCCACACUGGGACUGAGACACGGCCCAGACUCCUACGGGAGGCAGCAGUGGGGAAUUUUGGACAAUGGGCGCAAGCCUGAUCCAGCAAUGCCGCGUGAGUGAAGAAGGCCCUCGGGUUGUAAAGCUCUUUUGUCAGGGAAGAAACGGCUGGGGCUAAUAUCUCCGGCUAAUGACGGUACCUGAAGAAUAAGCACCGGCUAACUACGUGCCAGCCGCCGCGGUAACAC
rnacentral:rRNA from 1 species